GACAACUAAUGGAUCGGACUUAUUAGCUCGCAAAUCUUGAACUGGCCAACGACUUCCCGGCGUCUUCGCCCUUUCCCUCGCAAGCUCGCCUGAGGGUGCUUAGGGUUUGGAUCUUCUGAUCUAAUCCACUCCGAUAGCAGUCGCCCGAGGGAACACGGCUAGGUUUUCGUUCCUAAGUCGGGAGUCCGGUCUAUGAUUUCAGUUUUUGCGUCUUUGUCGGGAUUUCUAGUCCAGUCCAGUCCAGUCCAGUCUCUUUGGCAACAACUGGAACAUCCGAAUAGAACCAAUUGUGUCGAGGGAGCUCAACAUGGUUGAUUUAGUUGAUGAGGUCCGUGCAUAGCUUACCAUGAAAAGAAGAUGCUGCAAAGAUAGGCAUUGUUUGUAUGUUGGCAACUAUAUGGAAGUGCAAUAACAUGCCGAACAAGAACACCCUCACUCUUGGCCAUCAUAUAUGCGGAUCAAUGGUUCUCAGAAAUGAUAGAUGUUGAGUAUUAUUCAUGAAGAAGUGCCUCAAUUGGUGGUGUUUGGGGACUGUAUCACUGAGCAUGGGCCAUAGAGUGAUGCUAUAUUUGAAGAGUUUCCUUGGGAAUGAUGGCAAUUGGUGGAGCUCUUGUAUCGUUUCUCAUGUCUUAGACAGCUUCAGAUCAUCAAGGGAUUGGCAGCAAUUAAGAAAUGAUGAUACAUGUAGGGUUAGCCUUAGAUCAACCUAUGAUGCUCAUAUGGGUGAUGGUUCUGUAGCAUCUACCAAUAUGUUAGAAUAUCAUUUUGAUGGUAUUGAUGAAGAGUUUGGAGGAGCAGAUGGUGGAGCAGCAUCUAGAAGAAGCUAGUCAUCGCAGAGUGGAUAACAAAGAGAGGGAGCAACCUAGACUGGGCAAGAUGUGCUGAAGGAUUUAUUGCAGGGCCGGACUUGCUGGCCGCCCAGUUCACAGACGUCCGUUCGCGGGAACCACACAAACUGUUUUCUUUAGCCCCCACUUGAUGGGUUCCGUGAACCAGUGGAUACGCGAUCCGUCAUUGGCGAUUGACCGUCCGCCAGUAUCGCGGGUCGCACUCGGGUGCCGCACGAAGCCAAAGAGCAAGCCGCCGUAGCGGGCGUUACGUUCGACAGGUGAGACGCAUCGGCGGGCGACGGUAACCAAGCGCGACGUCUUUAA